rnacentral:rRNA from 1 species
UACAGAGGGUGCGAGCGUUGUUCGGAAUUAUUGGGCGUAAAGCGCAUGUAGGCGGGUUGUUAAGUCGCGUGUGACAGCCCCAGGCUCAACCUGGGAAGUGCGCGCGAAACUGGCGAUCUUGAGUGCUGGAGAGGGUGGCGGAAUUCCCGGUGUAGAGGUGAAAUGCGUAGAUAUCGGGAGGAACACCAGAGGCGAAGGCGGCCACCUGGACAGACACUGACGCUGAGACGCGAAAGCGUGGGGGGCAAACAGG